GAGGGGCAUCAGUUUGGUUUGCUUGCAAACCAAAGCUGGCGACCGGCGCACGGGUGAGUAACACGUAUCCAACCUGCCUCAUACUCGGGGAUAGCCUUUCGAAAGAAAGAUUAAUAUCCGAUAGCAUAUAUUUCCCGCAUGGGUUUUAUAUUAAAGAAAUUCGGUAUGAGAUGGGGAUGCGUUCCAUUAGUUUGUUGGCGGGGUAACGGCCCACCAAGACUACGAUGGAUAGGGGUUCUGAGAGGAAGGUCCCCCACAUUGGAACUGAGACACGGUCCAAACUCCUACGGGAGGCAGCAGUGAGGAAUAUUGGUCAAUGGACGCGAGUCUGAACCAGCCAAGUAGCGUGAAGGAUGACUGCCCUAUGGGUUGUAAACUUCUUUUAUAUGGGAAUAAAGUGGUCCACGUGUGGAUUUUUGUAUGUACCAUAUGAAUAAGGAUCGGCUAACUCCGUGCCAGCAGCCGCGGUAAUACGGAGGAUCCGAGCGUUAUCCGGAUUUAUUGGGUUUAAAGGGAGCGUAGGCGGAUUGUUAAGUCAGUUGUGAAAGUUUGCGGCUCAACCGUAAAAUUGCAGUUGAUACUGGCAGUCUUGAGUGCAGUAGAGGUGGGCGGAAUUCGUGGUGUAGCGGUG
rnacentral:rRNA from 1 species